CAGUAGCCGCGGUAAUACGUAGGUGGCAAGCGUUGUCCGGAAUUAUUGGGCGUAAAGGGCUCGCAGGCGGUUUCUUAAGUCUGAUGUGAAAGCCCCCGACUCAACCGGGGAGGGUCAUUGGAAACUGGGAAACUUGAGUGCAGAAGAGGAGAGUGGAAUUCCACGUGUAGCGGUGAAAUGCGUAGAGAUGUGGAGGAACACCAGUGGCGAAGGCGACUCUCUGGUCUGUAACUGACGCUGAGGAGCGAAAGCGUGGGGAGCGAACAGGAUUAGAUACCCCGGUAGUCCCUGUCUCUUAUAC
rnacentral:rRNA from 1 species